rnacentral:rRNA from 1 species
AUUCUGGCUCAGGAUGAACGCUAGCUACAGGCUUAACACAUGCAAGUCGAGGGGCAUCAGGGCGAUAGCUUGCUAUGCCGCUGGCGACCGGCGCACGGGUGAGUAACGCGUAUCCAACCUCCCCCUUAGUAGAGGAUAGCCCGGCGAAAGUCGGAUUAAUACUCUAUGUUCUUCAAUGCGGACAUCUAACUUGAAGCAAAGAUUCAUCGCUAAGGGAUGGGGAUGCGUCUGAUUAGCUUGUCGGCGGGUAACGGCCCACCGAGGCGACGAUCAGUAGGGGUUCUGAGAGGAAGGUCCCCCACAUUGGUACUGAGACACGGACCAAACUCCUACGGGAGGCAGCAGUGAGGAAUAUUGGUCAAUGGGCGCGAGCCUGAACCAGCCAAGUAGCGUGCAAGGAUGACUGCCCUAUGGGUUGUAAACUGCUUUUAUGCGGGAAUAAAGUCAGGUACGCGUACCUGUUUGUAUGUACCGCAUGAAUAAGGACCGGCUAAUUCCGUGCCAGCAGCCGC